rnacentral:rRNA from 1 species
AAUCAACGCUGGCGGCGUGCCUAACACAUGCAAGUCGAACGCGAAAGCCCGCAAGGGUAAGUAGAGUGGCGCACGGGUGAGUAACACGUGGACAACCUGCCUUCGAGUGGGGAAUAACCUUCCGAAAGGAGGGCUAAUACCGCAUAACACCUCGGGACACAAGUUCUGGGGUUGAAAAGAGCAAUUUGCUCGAAGAGGGGUCCGCGCCUGAUUAGCUAGUUGGUGAGGUAACGGCUCACCAAGGCUUCGAUCAGUAGCCGUCCUGAGAGGGAGCACGGCCACACUGGAACUGAGACACGGUCCAGACUCCUACGGGAGGCAGCAGUGGGGAAUUUUGGCAAUGGGCGAAAGCCUGACCAAGCAACGCCGCGUGGGUGAUGAAGUAUCUUGGUACGUAAAACCCUUUCGGCAGGGACGAACCUAAUGACGGUACCUGCGGAAGAAGCCCCGGCUAACUCCGUGCC